CCUACGGGCGGCAGCAGUGGGGAAUAUUGGGCAAUGGGCGCAAGCCUGACCCAGCAACGCCGCGUGAAGGAAGAAGGCUUUCGGGUUGUAAACUUCUUUUGUCAGGGAAGAGUGGAAGACGGUACCUGACGAAUAAGCCACGGCUAACUACGUGCCGGCAGACGCGGUAAUACGUAGGUGGCAAGCGUUGUCCGGAUGUACUGGGUGUAAAGGGCGUGUAGCCGGGUUGACAAGUCAGAUGUGAAAUCCUGCGGCUUAACCGCAGAACUGCAUUUGAAACUGUUGAUCUUGAGUACUGGAGAGGCAGAUGGAAUUCCUAGUGUAGCGGUGAAAUGCGUAGAGAUUAGGAGGAACACCAGUGGCGAAGGCGGUCUGCUGGACAGCAACUGACGGUGAGGUGCGAAAGCGUGGGGAGCAAACAGGAUUAGAUACCCCUGUAGUC
rnacentral:rRNA from 1 species